rnacentral:rRNA from 1 species
CCUACGGGGGGCUGCAGUGGGGAAUAUUGGACAAUGGGGAGAACCCUGAUCCAGCCAUGCCGCGUGUGUGAAGAAGGCCCUCGGGUUGUAAAGCACUUUCAGUGAGGAAGAACGCCUGGUGGUUAAUACCCAUCAGGAAAGACAUCACUCACAGAAGAAGCACCGGCUAACUCCGUGCCAGCAGCCGCGGGAAUACGGAGGGUGCGAGCGUUAAUCGGAAUUACUGGGCGUAAAGCGCGCGUAGGUGGCUUGAUAAGCCGGUUGUGAAAGCCCCGGGCUCAACCUGGGAACGGCAUCCGGAACUGUCAAGCUAGAGUGCAGGAGAGGAAGGUAGAAUUCCCGGUGUAGCGGUGAAAUGCGUAGAGAUCGGGAGGAAUACCAGUGGCGAAGGCGGCCUUCUGGACUGACACUGACACUGAGGUGCGAAAGCGUGGGUAGCAAACAGGAUUAGAUACCCUGGUAGUC